CGGGUAGGAGCGCGGAAGGAGGGGCAUUGGGCCUCUCCGCUAGCGAGCUUUGGGGGUUGCGGCGGGUCAGCGACAUGCGCGCAUUCGGCCAGCGCCUGUGCAGCUUUGCUUGGGAAGACUCGAACUGGCGCCGGAAAUUUUACGAAGACGUGAUUUUCAAAGCUAAUUAUGAAAACAUUUGUCGUGGGAAUCAGUGGCCAGAGUCUGAGAUAGAGACAGACGCAAAUGGAUUUCUGCAGUAUGACGUUCUUGAAGCGCUCAAUAUGGAAAAAAUGAUGUCCACCAUUUCCUGCUGGAUGGAAAGCCAAGGACAGUCCCUGGCAUCAACAGACUCUGGAAGUGCCGAGGAAAUUCCCAUAUUGAUCGUCGAAGGCUUCCUUCUCUUUAAUUAUAAGCCCCUCGACACACUAUGGAACAGAAGCUACUUUCUGACCAUUCCGUAUGAAGAAUGUAAGAGGAGGAGGAGUAUAAAGUUUCCUGUGUGUUUUGAUAGUACGAGAGUCUACGAGCCUCCAGACACCCCAGGGUACUUUGAUGGCCACGUGUGGCCCAUGUAUCUAAAGCACAGACGAGAAAUGGAGAAGAUCACGUGGGAGAUUGUUUACCUAGAUGGAACAAAAUCUGAAGAGGACCUCUUUAAAGAAGUGUAUGAAGAUCUAAUACAAGAACUAGCAAAGCAAAAGUGUUUGCACGUGACAACGUAAAGAUGGAGUGCACUGAACCCUUCAGGGAUGAAUUAGGAAACUCGAAGGCCUCUAUUCAAGAACCUGCAUGAAGAUACAAUAUGUACUUUGAUUUCUUGAUCUGGGGGAAAACCACCCAACGUGUUCUGAGAACAUUCGAGCGGCCCUGUGUAAAAGCCCAGGUGGCAAAAUAGGGCCACCUGCCAAGUGCCAGCGCCAGCUUGCCCGCCACGUAGCCGAGCCACCUCGGAAAUGGGUCUUCCGACACCGGUCAAGCCUUUAGGUGACCAAAGCCCAACCGACAGCUUGAUUUCAACUUCAUCAGAGACUCUGAGGCAGAACCACCAGCGAAGCCACUCCUAAAAUCCAGAUCCACGGUAACCGAGCAAGGUAACUGCGAUUUAAGCUGCUGCAUUUUGGGUAACUGGGCAAUUCGUUAUGCAGCCCACAACCUACUCCAAAUUGUUGGCUGAGGCCGAUUUGCAAUGCAUUUCUGCCACUUUCCACCGAAGACAUUUUGAAUAAUACAUCCGAAUCACUUGGGAUGAGUCCCGGGCGUCUGUAGGUUUUAAAGCUCUGGUAGAUGAAUUUGAUGUGCAGUUGAAAACCUCUCUUUUAUUGGGAAAUAUAAAUAUUUAACGUGUAAUUAUAACCCACUGGCUUUGCAUCAGCUAAACUGCAUUCUUCCCUCCAUGAUACACUGUAAGAGCCCUUGCUUUUAGGCCAUUGGAAGUUCGGAUGGGCAUCCCCAUCAGGAAAAUCUGGUUUUCUUCUCCUCUCUAACAUAGAAAUGAGCAAGAAAGAUUCAUCUUCACUGCUUUCCUCUUGAAUUUUCCUCUUGGCUUCAUUGCUCUGACUGAAGACCAAAACCGGUUCAUAUGAAACACUCCUUGGCCAUGGGACAAUUUGCAGUGGCUCCCACCACACUCUCUUGCAAAUCCUCCUUUGCCCCUGACUCAGACGCACUGACUCCUUCAUUCCACAAAUAUUUGUCAAGUACAUAUGAAAAUUCUGUUUGACCCAGAGAAAAUGAGGGUCAUGAUGAGAGGCUGACACUCUGUCUCACUCAAACAUAUGCACCCAAGAUGCUGAAUUUCCAAACCUGAAAGUUGAAAACAAGAGUAAAUGCAUGGCUGAGCAUCGCCUUCUUAUUUCUGUGUCUUUUUUCACAGACACUCAAACAUCCUCUUAGAGCUGCCACAGACUGGCAAAGUAUUACUUUUUUUUUUUUUAUCUUCAGAAAUCUGAAUUGCAAUAACCUUGGCCACCAACUGACCACAAAGUCAACCAUCUACCUGUUAUCCUAAUAUCCUAGUAAUUAUCCUCGGUUCCUCUCCUCACUUCAUGAAUGGAAAUAACCCCCACGUCCUGUUAGCUUCUCUUCAGGAAUCCCAUAUUCAGACUUUGAUCCCCACCCCUAAGAGCCACAGCCUUUGCUCAGAUUACCUUCAUCCCCAGUCUCUUCACGAGGGCCUUGAGCACAAGCUUCCUCCACUCCCAACGCAUUCUGCACCCAUCUGCCAGAGUUAUCAUUCCAAAUUGUAAAUUGUAUCAUGGCACCCUUUUGAUUAAAAACACUCCGUGAUCUCACGUAAUCCCUAAUAUGAUACACGGGGAAGCGCACAUCACUUCUGUGGUAUUCUUGCCAGAGAUACAGAGCCCCACUCUAAUUGUGAGAAAACACUAGAUAAACCCGGCUCAGGGACAUUCUAUGAAACAAAUGGUUAGUAUUCUUCCACAGCGUCAAGGUUAUGACAGAAAAAGACUAAGGAGCUGUCACACACUGGUGAAGACAAAGGAGACCCGAUGACUAAAUGCAAUGCCAGAUCCUGGAUUGGUUUCUGGAACGAUAAAAAGACAUUAGUAGAAAAACUGGUGAAGUGCAAAUAAAUUUUGUCGUUAAUGCGGUCAUGUCAGCUUCUUAGUUUUGACCAUUUUGCAAGAUGCAGAAAUUAGAGAAAGCUGAGUGAAAAGUAUUUGAAAUGUCUCUACUGCUCCUGAAACCUUUCUGGAGUCUAAAAUUAUUUCAAAAGAUAGACUAAAAGGAUGGGGGGUGGGGGGGGUGGGGGGGAAGUGCCAUUGCAUCAAAUUCCAAUCACCUAUAUAGGCUUAAUGAAGGAGAGAUUGGGAUGGAGGUGAUAUCAAUGCACAUCAGGCUGGUACCAUGGGAUGAGAUGUGAAUCUAUAAGAUCUCUCGCAAGCCCUCCAAAGACACAUAUGGUUGGAGCAUCCCACAGGGCUAAAUGUCCUUUGACUCUUUAGAAAAUGCAAUCCCUAGGGGCGUCUGGGUGGCUCAGUUAGUUAAGCAUCUGACUCUUGAUUCCGGUUCAAGUCAUGAUCUCACAGUUCGUGAGUUGGAGCCUGGCAUUCGGCUCUGUGCUGAGGGUGCAGAGCCUGCUUGGGAUUUUCUCUCUCCCUCUCUCUACCUCUUCUCUGCUUGCACGGUCUACUCUCUCUCUCUCUCUCUCAAAAUAAAUAAACUUAAAAAAAAAUUUUUUUAAAGAAAAAAAGACUAUGCAGUCCCUAAAUGCAAGCCAGUCACUUCAUCUGGUGCUCAGCUGAAGAAACAGUGCUUUGCUCCAGUACUAGGAAUGACUGGCUGUGCUGUUUGAUUGAAUGUGGCAGAGAAUGCCUCCCAGUUUCCAUCUGCUCCUUCUUCUUCAAUAAAAUUCCUGGUCUUCCGGUUGGAACAUUGUCACCUGGCUAAAAGGAAUUGAAGAGUUUCUCUGUUUAUUUGGAAAAGAGCAUAAUGUGGUAAUGAAAACCAGAGCUUUGGUGUCCAUGAUAUAGAGCAGAAUCACAUCUAGCUGUGUGACCUCCAGCAAAUUAUUAUCGUCUAUCUUGAGGCUUGAUCUCCUUGUCUGUGGAACAGAGAGAUCAUGUUAAACUUACUUUAUAGCAUUGCUGUGAAUAUUACAUUUUUAACCCAUGCAAGUGCUUCAUAUUUAGCGCAGUAUUCUGGCACAGGAUAUGUGCUCAUUAAAUAUUAGCUGUUAUUUAAAGGCAUAAGGAAAAAAAAUCUAAAAUUUGCAGUAGCAGAAGGUCAGUGAUGAGGCAUUCAAGUAUAACUCCGAUUGUAUGGCCCCGUUAAUCCCGUACUCAGUAUACUGUUUUGAAGUGGUGAACUUGUACUCGGCUUUCUUUUUCCAUUUUAGACUUCGCUCCUGUGGGAAUUCUCACAUUCUCUGUAUUCUGUUAACCGAAUCACUGAAUCUUUCCAGUUUCCCUCCAUGAAGGAGAAUCCAGCCUCUGAUCUAGUGAGCAGGAAAAGGAACCUGGAGAGGAAAGAGGGCUCCCAUCGCCUGAGUGCUGCUGUCAGUCGGCUCCCCAUCCGUGAGAGGACUCUACCUGAGGCACAGAGAGAGAGCAGGCGGAGGAGAGGCAGAGAAAGAGGGAGAGAGAGAAUCCUAAGCAGGCUCCUUGCUGUCAGCCUGGAAGCUGAAGCAAGGCUCGAUCUCACAAACCUCAAGAUCAUGACCUGAGCCAAAAUCAAGCGUUGGACACUAAAUCGACUGAGCCACCCGGGCAUCCCUGGAUACCAAGGCCCCCAGAGGAUUGGAUGGUGCCCACCUGCACUGAUGAGAAUGCUCUUUACUCAGUCUACUGACUCAUAUGGUAAUCUCUUUUUGGAGACACGCUGACAGACACACCCAGAAAUCGUGUUUUAACAGCUAUCUGGGCAUCUCUCAACUCAGUCAAGUUGACACAUAAAACUAACCAUUACAGGACUGCAAUGUCAGGUAGUGCUAAGUGCUCUGAAGAAAAAAAUGGAUAAAGGAGCUGGGGUGUACGCGAAAAAAAGUAAGAUGUCUUCUAAUAAAAAAUCAAUUGUGCUAUGUUCACCCAAGGAAUACCUUAUGGUGUGAAAACGAACAAACUAUAGCUCUACACACAACGUGGAUAAAACUUUGAAACAUAGUAUUGAGUAAAAGAAGCAAGAAAUGAUGCCAUGAGAAAACAAUCAGACUAAAUCCAGAAUAUGGGAUAUUCUGCAGGUCCAACGAUCCAGCUUUCUAAAAAAAAAAACAAAACAAAAACAAAAACAGAACAAAACAGAGCAAAAAAAUGCCAUGAUAACAAGAAAGGAAGAGGGAAAGAAGCAGGGUCUUGAAUAGAAGAGAUACAAGAGUCAUGAUGUUCUGAGUUGUAACAACUAACUACAAAAAGACAUCUUUGAGGCGAUUAGGGAAAUUUGAAUAAGAACUGGGUAUUAGAAGUUAAUAAGAUUGAUUAUUAAUUUUUGUCGAUAGACACAAUAAUGACAUGAUGGUUAUCUUUUCAAAGUUCCUCUCAGACAUGCACACUGAAGUUUGCAUGGGGGAAAAACAAUAUAAUGUCUGGGAACACCCUUGUAAAACAGCAAGAGGAGGUUAGGUAAAACAAGGUUACAAACUUUUGAGAAUUGGUGACAUUAUUGGGUGAAGGAUUGUAAUAAUAUAGUAGAUUGCUUAUGUUAUUGCCUCUACUUUUAUUUUACUUUGAAAAUGUCCAUAAUUCAAGUUUUUAAAAUGAGAAACUUAUUUAAUUUACUUAGAAGCUUCUUCUGGGCUUAUAUGUAAAAAUGUAUCUAGAAUUAAGUAGAAGUCACAGGUUUACGUGUGAUUCUGAAGACCUUUUGUUUUGAGAUUAUUGUAGAUUCGUAUGCAGUUGCAAGAAAUAAGUCAGAAAGAUUUCAUAUACUAUCGACCCAAUGGCAUUAUCUUGCAUAACCAUAGCACACUAUCACAGGCUGGAAGUUGACAUUGAUACAACCAAUUGACCUUAUUCAAUUUCACCAGUUUGGUACGUAUCCAUUUAUGUAUAUAUGGCAUAUGUAUUAAUUUCUAUGCAAUUUUACCAAAGCAUAGAUUUGUGUGACCUCUACCACAGUCAAGAUACAGAACAGUUCUAUCACAAGAUUCUUUUGUACUCCCUUUUAUCACAACAGACACCCCUUUUACUCCUACCACCUCCGACCUCUGGCAGCCACGAAUCUGUUUUCUAGCUCUAUAGUUUUGUCAUUUGAAGACAAAAUAUAUAAAUGGAAUCAUACAGUAUGUGUAACCCUUUGUGAUUUUCUUCUCACCAUAAUUCUUUUGAGAUUCACCUAAGUUAUAUUUUUAAGUUAUUUGUUUUUAAAAUAAUCUCUACAUCCAUUGUGGGGCUCGAACUCACAACCCCAAGAUCAAGAGUUGCAUGCUCCACUGACUGAGCCAGCCAGGCGCCCCUCAUCUAAGUUACCGAGUGUAUAAAUAGAUGAUUCCUUUUCUCAUUGCUGAGUAAGGAUCUCAUGGUAUGGAUGUGCUCCACUUUGUUUAACCAUUCAUCUACUAACACUCAUUUGGGUUGUUACUAAAUUUUGGCUUCUACCAUGAGCUUUCGUGUAAAUUAGGUUUUUGUGUGAACACAUUUUUUCAUUUCUCUGGGAUAAAUGUCCAAGAGUGCAAUGACUGGAUUGUAUAGUAUGCACAGGUUCAGUUUUGUAAGAAAGUGCUAUACUCGUUCCCACAGUGGCUUUUCUAUUUCCCAUUCCCAUUAGCAAUGUAUGAACAUAUGAGUGUGUGAGCUUUAACUGCUUAACUAAUAGUUCUUCAGAAUAACCGAAGAAAGAAUGAUCUGAUGAAAAUAUUUCUGCCCAAAUGGCCCCAUGGUUUGCGAAGAUUUCUAUAGGAGGUACUCGUUGUAAAGAAGUUAGGUCAAGGAAGUCCUAAAAGUGCUUUGAAACAAGGCCAAAAAUGUAUCCUAGAUACAUCUGAAAGGAAGAGAGGAAAUUAACAUUUACAGAGCAGAAAUACCAGGCAUUUCUCAUUCUUUAUCUCAUUUAUUCCUCAGAUGACCCUGUAAGAAGGGUACUAUGCUCAUUUUAGAAAUAACGUAAUCAAGGUCUCAAGUAACUUUUCAAACAGUCACAGUUACCAACCGGCAAAGUGAGACUAAAAAGCCCAGCUUCUAGCUGCCUUUAGCUCAGUGCAGGAAACAUAGGAGGCAAUCAACACAUUUGUUGAGAAGACUGAAUGAAUAGAUGAAUGUCAGUUCUGCUAUUUAUGUACUCCUUGGCAAGACAAUUAAAUUCUCUGAGUCUUUCUUCUUUUGUUGAAGGAAGACAAUAAUAACACCUCCUUCACAAUGUCGGGAACAAAUGAGGUGAUGUGAAAAAAAAAUUGAAAAAUGUUAAAUGUUACAUAAUAUUCUAAAAGUACAGUCAGGGUCAUAACCAAAUACCGAUAAAAUGCAGGCACAAGAGUUGGGUGGGUGGGUGGGUGUAGUGCCAGUAAGGUACUGUGCCCCAUGGAUUAUUUAAUAUCGAGUUUCCUUAUCUGUGAAAUCACAAGUGAGAUUAAGGUGGAGCGCCUUAAUGACAUAGACCCUAAGAUUCUCACCGAAUAAUGAGACAGAACCAAGCAAACCUCUACAUAGAUUAAUUUGAAAAUGUUUAUUAUCCUUCCCAGGAUGAUGAAAUGUUGCUGAUUAUCAUUAUCCAUGGCAUUCUGGCCGAUAUCAAUUAGGUCAUUGAGACCUAUAUCAGUGCAUCAAAAUUAUUACACAGGUAAUUUGCAUAUUUGUAUGUGCAAUUAUAUAUGAAGACAGUAUUGGUUAACAGUUAAUAAUAUGAGAAUAUAUAUAUAACUUCCAAAUACCAGUUUCUAAGAAAAAUAUGCACUGGAUAGAAGUGGAAGAAUGGGCAAGGAAUUGAUAUAUUGUGUCUGGGUAGGGGAUAAGACUGGCUAGAAAGGUAAAGAAGCUUCACAUUUGUAACUCUUUGUAUUUUCCAUUUGAAUUUUGGAGCAUAUAUUACUGCAUUACUAUUCAAUAAAUACUUUAACCUUUUAUAAAA